GUCCCUGUAGCACAAUGGAGAGCGCGCGCGCGCGCGCGCGUUGGACUUCUAAUCCAAAGGUCGUAGGCUCAAAUCCCACUUGGGAUG